rnacentral:rRNA from 1 species
AUGUUAGCGGCGGACGGGUGAGUAACACGUGGGUAACCUACCUAUAAGACUGGGAUAACUCCGGGAAACCGGGGCUAAUACCGGAUAAUAUUUUGAACCGCAUGGUUCAAUAGUGAAAGACGGUUUCGGCUGUCACUUAUAGAUGGACCCGCGCCGUAUUAGCUAGUUGGUAAGGUAACGGCUUACCAAGGCGACGAUACGUAGCCGACCUGAGAGGGUGAUCGGCCACACUGGAACUGAGACACGGUCCAGACUCCUACGGGAGGCAGCAGUA